rnacentral:lncRNA from 1 species
GAAACCAUGCUUGGAUUUUUAUCAUGAUAAUACUACACAAAAGAAUGCAAUCAAACCCAUACUUGCACAUUCCGGUUUGCCGGUGCCCUUCGGACUUGUCCUAAGGCAUAAAUAGAUAUCUAACUUUGUGGACUUGUCCACCAUAAUCAUAUUAUGGUUUUUCAUGCAUAGCUUAAGCAUAAAUAUUACCAUGAAAAUCAUAACUCUUAAGCAUGGAAG